rnacentral:lncRNA from 1 species
UGGUUAUCAGCCCCGCUGCUUGGAUGACUACUCGGUGAAGCUCUGGAGGCCUCAUCCACUUCAGACACACGCACUCCCAGACCAAGCCGUUGGUGGAGCCAUCAGUCCCAGCCAUGUGGACGCUCUAGCACCACCUGCUGGACAGAAGCAGUCAAGCCCACUCCCAGAGGCAUUCCUCUCAGCUCUCAGGGAGAUGAGGGAGGACAAUCAGCAGUUAAGGCUUGAUAUGCAGCAAAUUGUCCAAGCCCUCUCACCACGUGCAUCAGAGGCACCACCAGCUCCAACCACCAGCUUCGCUGCCGCAUCCAGAGGACGACCCCACGUCGCAGACAGUGGGGUAUCCUAUUCAAGGCUUCCCUUCCCGGAUUUCUCAUCCACGCCGCUGACAACCAGGCAGCCCUUCCUUCAGCCAGUGGAUGACCUGCAAGGUGUGCCGUGGACUACGUCUCAUCAUUCUCAGCUGGUGGUCCAACCAGAUGAUGACACGUCUCCGUGGCAGGUGCCACGCCCACAUCAUCCACCUCAACAGUUUGUGGCUGAGCUGACUGAUCAUAUGCGGAGCAUGCAUAUGCGUCCAGAGCACAGCCCAGCUGCUCACGCACCGCCAUCUCAGGUACCAACACCGCAGUACAUGGUGCCAUUCACCCCUCCUCGCACCUCAUCAGCUCGUCCUUACAACCCAGCAUCAUACCCGGUUGCUGGACUGAGGCCACUGGGGCAGGGUCCCUACGACGGGCCACCUACUCCUCCCCGACGAGAGAGCACCUACAGAGGACCAAAGCCUCACAUCCCGUGCUUCACAGAAGAAGACCCCCGCCAGUUUGCCCGCCUGAAGCUGGCAUUGGAGAACAUCCUGCCUGCGGAUGCGACUGAGCGGUUCAAGUACCAGAUCCUGGUCGACCACCUGAAGCUGGAGGAUGCUCUGCUGAUAGCAGACUCCUACUGCAACAGUCGGUAUCCAUACACCAACACCAUGGCAUCACUCACCGAGCUGUAUGGCCAGCCACACAGGCUGGCUCUGCAGCGCAUCAACGAGGUCCUUGCUGAAUCUCCAGUCAAGAGCGGUGACAGCAGGGGGUUCCGCCUGUUCGCACUAAAGGUGCGGGCCCUUGUGGGGAUGUUGGACCAGCUGGGGAAAGAAGGGCGAACAGAACUGGAGUGUGGGUCACAUGUGUCACGACUGCUGUCAAAGCUUCCACAUGACAUGCGCAUCCAGUUCAAACGCUACAUCGACCCCAUUCAGACACCAAUCCCCACACUGCUGGACUUUUCUUACUGGCUGGAGAAGGAGGUCCGUGUUCAGCAGGAUGAGGUGCCAUUCAUCCACUCCAGAGCACCGCUGGAAGAGCCACCUGACCGCCAGAGGGGCGACAGGUGGAAUCAGAGCCCAGCCGUGCA